rnacentral:rRNA from 1 species
UACGUAGGUGGCAAGCGUUGUCCGGAUUUACUGGGCGUAAAGAGCGCGCAGGCGGUCGUAUAAGUCGAAUGUGAAAGCCCCCGGCUCAACUGGGGAGGGUCAUUCGAUACUGUUCGACUCGAAGGCAGGAGAGGGAAGUGGAAUUCCGGGUGUAGUGGUGAAAUGCGUAGAUAUCGUGAGGAACACCAGAGGCGAAGGCGGCUACCUGGACAAUUGCUGACGCUCAGGCACGAAAGCGUGGGGAGCAAAAGGG